GAUGAACGCUGGCGGCGUGCCUAAUACAUGCAAGUCGAGCGAACAGACGAGGAGCUUUCUCCUCUGACGUUAGCGGCGGACGGGUGAGUAACACGUGGAUAACCUACUUAUAAGACUGGGAUAACUUCGGGAAACCGGAGCUAAUACCGGAUAAUAUAUUGAACCGCAUGGUUCAAUAGUGAAAGACGGUUUUGCUGUCACUUAUAGAUGGAUCCGCGCCGCAUUAGCUAGUUGGUAAGGUAACGGCUUACCAAGGCAACGAUGCGUAGCCGACCUGAGAGGGUGAUCGGCCACACUGGAACUGAGACACGGUCCAGACUCCUACGGGAGGCAGCAGUAGGGAAUCUUCCGCAAUGGGCGAAAGCCUGACGGAGCAACGCCGCGUGAGUGAUGAAGGUCUUCGGAUCGUAAAACUCUGUUAUUAGGGAAGAACAAAUGUGUAAGUAACUAUGCACGUCUUGACGGUACCUAAUCAGAAAGCCACGGCUAACUACGUG
rnacentral:rRNA from 1 species